UACGGAGGGUGCAAGCGUUAAUCGGAAUUACUGGGCGUAAAGGGUGCGUAGGUGGUUUGGUAAGUUAUCUGUGAAAUCCCCGGGCUCAACCUGGGCAGGUCAGAUAAUACUGCUAAACUCGAGUAUGGGAGAGGGUAGUGGAAUUUCCGGUGUAGCGGUGAAGUGCGUAGAGAUCGGAAGGAACACCAGUGGCGAAGGCGGCUACCUGGCCCAAUACUGACACUGAGGCACGAAAGCGUGGGGAGCAAACAGG
rnacentral:rRNA from 1 species